ACAAGCCAAGAGACACAAAGGGAAAAGUGUGACUGUUCUGAAAGCAAAACAAACGAAUAUCUCCAGAGGGGAUUAGUCCUCCUGCUUAGAAGUAACCAAAGCAAAGAAAGCUAAGCCUGCUUUAACUGGGAAGAGCACCUGCCCAACAGACAAGUAUGAGCUAAU
rfam:Pteropus vampyrus cont1.82834, whole genome shotgun sequence.